rnacentral:sRNA from 1 species
CCAUCAUGGAAUAUAUCCAUUUCUGGAGC